AUGCGGUUGAGAGGUUGCCCAAGCCACAAUAAGUUUGCAAGACUGCUCUCAGCCAACAUUGAAAUGCGUAUCGCAAGCAGUCUAGGAUCGCUAUUCAAGGAAAAUGGAGGGCAGUUCCAAACAGGCUCUAGCACUUGCAUGCUCCAGAAGAGGCUUGCUUCCCACGUUCUGCCCUGUGUGAAGAAGAGAUGGCGAACUCCUACAGAAAGUGGGAUGGAAGAUGGAUACAUUCUGUUGCAAGGCUCCAACCCCCUUGAUAUUUGGUCCAGCUGCCUGAUGGCAAUCUACUUGGCGGUCUUGCUGCCGUUGUGGCAAUGCGAAUGUUUGACUGGGUUUGCAAUGUUGAGGUGCCGAGACAACAGAUGACACCAGGAUUACUUGAGGACAUUGACAGGACUUGAGGAUGAUGCCGAUGCUUGUUGAAGAGCUUCCGUCGUGAAAAGAGCUGUUCGCCAAGGAGGCAUUCCAUUGUGUGGACUGUGUAUCCAUGGCUGUAUUUUGUGCCAAUGGCAAAUUAACUUUGAUUUGAUCUCCUAAAGGCGCCAAGAGUCAAGUCAUGUAGGUGGUAUUCCUCUUGACGUUGUCCUUGGACUCCCUUCUACUACAGUCCCCCCCCCCCCCCCCCCCCCUAAGUAAAGUACUUUGACAACUGCUGAUGUAAAAACAAAAAGUUUCUGAUAAUAAACUUUUAAAUUGCCACCAAUAAAAAGUAAUUUGAUUGCAGCAUUUGAAUAAAGAAUGAACGGUCAUCCUUGCACUAUUUUGUGAGGGCAUAUAUUUUACGGGGGGGGGGGGGGGGGGGGGGGACGACGAAGACGACAUGUACAAAGGAAUGCAUACAGAGAUUUCCACCCUCAGUUCCCAUCUGCCUACAUCCCGUUUCCUUCAUAUGUGGGAUCUGCAGUUAAGUGUCUGGGGUGAAGUUACUAAACUUGUUUUGGCGUGCAUGGAAUUACAUGCUUUGCGUCUCUUAGUGAUCGUUGCUUGAAUCUCAUGAUUAGUGCUGGCAGGCAGCAAUGCUGUGAUUUCAUUUUUGUUGUAGCAACCACCUACGUUUAAACGAGUCGAUACAGUUCAUAUUAGACGUUAUAACGGACUUAUCAACAGCGAGAAUGGACGGUACUAGUCAAGUAACAAAUGUGCCCGACUGGUGGUCUCGAAAGUGACCUUAUCAAUAUGCAACCCGUUUUAUAUUUUAAUUUAACGGUUGCUUUCUAAGUGGUUUUGAGGUCAACGUCUGAGCGUUUCACAUAGACACUGCAGCUAUAUGGAACAUGUGUAUUAGGUUCCUGAAUAGCCCUUACUAUAGACUGGUUUUCACACGAUAUUUAAGGAAUAGCCCAUACUAUAGACUGGUUUUCACACAAGAUAUUAAUGGAAUAACCCAUACUAUAGACUGGUUUUCACACGAUAUUUAAGGAAUAGCCCUUACUAUAGACUGGUUUUCACACAAGGUACAGUAGACACCAUUAUUUAAGCGGAGGAUAUAAUGUGCUCGGACUAAACCAUAUUGAAACAGAUGAGCAAUUAACUUGGCCCGUGUCUUUUGUUCCUGUCAUCUCGGAAAUACGUGAACUGUUUCCGGUUUCAGGUGCGUUCUAUUGUAACUAGCUAGGUUUGCACAUAACCAGUAUGCGACUUUUCCCCGUUUCGACGUUAAAGGUUUCCUAGACACUUAGCUAAUGUCAUAUGAACACCUGUAAACUGUCCCAGUCGAUUUGUUGGAUGAUUCCACGACGUUAAGAUACACAUUUGAAUUGUCAAGCGAACGAAAGCCUUUUAUACGUGGUCUUUGCUAACUAGCCUAGCCUCAAACUGUCUAAAAGAGACCAAGGUGAGUGUCGCUUUUUCAACUCACGACUUGAUUUGUGACAACUGAAUAACUUGAUUUAACAAGACUAGUUGUCAAACUUUUGCCAUAAUUUUUUUUUUGUGUGUGUGCAAACAUAACUAUACCAGGCUAAUGUCAGAAAAAGUAGCAAGUUAUAGUAGUUAGUUGGUUAGCGGUGAAUUUGUGAACUAAUUUAGCUAACUAAUUAUCUUAGGAAGAGCUAUAACUUAUAAUUUAUCGACUCAUAUUGUAAUGUUUCCCCUCCCCAGACCAAGAAGUGGAAAAGAGACUACACACAGUUAAAUUUGAAGAUGAAAUAUUUGUUCUGCUUUUCGUUAGGCUGAGGAACUCCAGAAAAACAUUCGUUGUCAAGAGUUGGAAGAUUUGCUUGUUGCAUUCCUCGACUAAACAAUAGUCUUUACCCUGCAAUGUUAGCUGCCCAUGUACUUUUAGAAAGAACCGUAACAUAUUAUACAUACUUGGCUAAGUAUAUUUCUGUAGACUAGGCCUACUAAACUAGCCAUUAGCUAAUGUCCGUAAUUCGUCCGGAUAUUAGGGAUUCUAAACUAUUUCUAUCACUUCAAAACCAAAGGUAAUCUUUUGGUAUGGUUUAUUUGUUUGACGUUAGUGUUAUAAGAGUAAAAGUAGGUGAAGAAAGGUGAAAGUCUUGGGGACGACAUGUAGCUAGUGAGUACCCUCAUUGGAAUUUUCCCUUGGGCGUUGGUGGUUGGUUUCGAUUUAACACUAUUAGGUGUGUCAUGUGACUCGUCCUGUGGUACACACUUUCCCUCAUCAUUCCCAGUGAUCUCACGGCAAGGAGAGUUAAUUUGACUUAUCUAAUGUACUAUAGCUAGGCUAUAGUCUAACAAACCCUCCUACAAAAUCUUAAAACGGAAAUAAAUAGACAGAAUUAAGGGC
rnacentral:lncRNA from 1 species